UACGUAGGGGGCAAGCGUUGUUCGGAAUUACUGGGCGUAAAGGGCGCGUAGGCGGCCUGUUAAGUCGAACGUGAAAUCCCCGGGCUCAACCCGGGAACUGCGUCCGAUACUGGCAGGCUUGAAUCCGGGAGAGGGAUGCGGAAUUCCAGGUGUAGCGGUGAAAUGCGUAGAUAUCUGGAGGAACACCGGUGGCGAAGGCGGCAUCCUGGACCGGUAUUGACGCUGAGGCGCGAAAGCCAGGGGAGCAAACGGG
rnacentral:rRNA from 1 species